AUUGAACGCUGGCGGCGUGCCUAACACAUGCAAGUCGAGCGGUAACAGGUGUAGCAAUACAUGCUGACGAGCGGCGGACGGGUGAGUAACGCUUGGGAAUCUGCCUGUUAGUGGGGGACAACCCGGGGAAACUCGGGCUAAUACCGCAUACGCACUACGGUGGAAAGCCGGGGACCGCAAGGCCUGGCGCUAACAGAUGAGCCCAAGUCGGAUUAGCUAGUUGGUAGGGUAACGGCCACCAAGGCGACGAUCCGUAACUGGUCUGAGAGGACGACCAGUCACACCGGAACUGAGACACGGUCCGGACUCCUACGGGAGGCAGCAGUGGGGAAUAGUUGGACAAUGGGCGAAAGCCGUGAAUCCAGCGACGCCGCGUGGGUGAAGAAGGCC
rnacentral:rRNA from 1 species